rnacentral:rRNA from 1 species
CCUACGAGAGGCUGCAGUGGGGAAUAUUGCACAAUGGGCGAAACCCUGAUCCAGCGACGCCGCGUGAGUGAAGAAGUAAUUCGUUAUGUAACGCUCUAUCAGCAGGGAAGAAAAUGACGGUACCUGAGUAAGAAGCCCCGGCUAACUACGUGCCAGCAGCCGCGGUAAUACGUAGGGGGCAAGCGUUAUCCGGAUUUACUGGGUGUAAAGUGAGCGUAGACGGCAGUGCAAGUCUGGAGUGAAAGGCGGUGGCUGAACCCCCGGACUGCGCGGGAAACUGUACGGCUGGAGUGCAGGAGAGGUAAGUGGAAUUCCUAGUGUAGCGGUGAAAUGCGUAGAUAUGAGGAGGAACACCAGUGGCGAAGGCGGCUUACUGGACUGUAACUGACGUUGAGGUGCGAAAGCGUGGGGAGCAAACAGGAUUAGAUACCCUUGUAGUC